GCGAGGCCGCGCCUAUCCCGGCCACAUCGGUCCCCGCGGCGCACGGGAGUCUCUCAUGGCUGUGGCGUUGGCCCCAUGGGGGCGACAGUGGGAAGAGGCCCGCGCCUUUGACCGGACGGUGAGGCUGCUGCAGCGCCUGGAAGAGCAAUGCAGCGACCCCCGACUGUCCAUGAGUCCCCCUUCGCUUCGGGACCUGCUGCCUCGCAUAGCGCAGCUGCUUCAGCAGGUGGCUCAAGCUCGUCGGGCUGCCGGCGGAGGCGACCCCGGGGAUCCCGGAGGCUCCGGGAACUUUCUAGUCAUCUACCUGGCCAAUCUGGAGGCCAAGAGCAGGCAGGUGGCCGAGCUGCUGCCGCCCCGGGGCCGAAGGAGCGCCAACGACGAACUCUUCCGGGAGGGAUCCAGACUCAGGCGCCAGCUGGCCAAGCUGGCCGUCAUCUUCAGCCACAUGCACGCAGAGCUGCGAGCGCUUUUCCCUGGGGGAUGUUACUGCGGUCAUGUGUACCAGCUCACCAAGGCCCCAGCCCACGUCUUCUGGAGGGAGCGCUGCGGAGCCCGGUGUGUGCUGCCCUGGGCUGAGUUUGAGUCGCUCCUGGGCACCUGCCACCCAGUGGAGCCAGGCUGCACGGCCCUGGCCCUGCGCACCACCAUUGACCUCACCUGCAGCGGGCACGUGUCCAUCUUCGAGUUCGACAUCUUCACCAGGCUAUUCCAGCCAUGGCCAACACUCCUCAAGAACUGGCAGCUCCUGGCAGUCAACCACCCAGGCUACAUGGCCUUCCUCACCUACGAUGAGGUCCAGGAGCGUCUGCAGGCCUACACGGACAGGCCAGGCAGCUACAUCUUCCGGCCCAGCUGUACUCGCCUGGGGCAGUGGGCCAUCGGCUACGUAAGCUCAGAUGGCAGCAUCCUGCAGACCAUCCCUGCCAACAAACCCCUGUCCCAGGUGCUCCUGAAGGGACAAAAGGACGGCUUCUACCUCUACCCAGAUGGAAAGAACCACAACCCAGACCUGACCGAGCUCUGCCGGGCAGAACCCCAGCAGCGCAUCCACGUGUCAGAGGAGCAGCUGCAGCUCUACUGGGCCAUGGACUCCACAUUUGAGCUCUGCAAGAUCUGUGCUGAGAGCAACAAGGAUGUGAAGAUCGAGCCAUGUGGACAUCUGCUCUGUAGCCGCUGCCUGGCUGCCUGGCAGCACUCAGACAGCCAGACCUGCCCCUUCUGCCGCUGUGAGAUCAAGGGCCGGGAGGCCGUGAGUAUCUACCAAUUCUAUGGCCAGGCUACUGCUGAGGACUCAGGAGACAGCAGUCACCAGGAAGGCAGGAAGCUGGGGCUGGGGCAGGUGCCCCCUUCGGCUCCUCCACUGCCCCCACGGUCAGAGCUGCCCCCGAGGAAACCCAGAAAUACCCAGCCAAAGGUGGCACCUGUGGCCUUCCCCAGACUUCAGGCCCCUCUUCCCUUGCCAAGAAUUAAGACUGUGGCCUCAGCCCCACCAGAAGCCACCUCCAGCCCCCAGGCCAGGGAGGGGGCUACAGAAGACUUCUAAAGGGGAACUCCCCUCCAGCUGCCCUGGGAGCCCAGGACCCUGCCCCCGCCUGAGGCAGGGCCCUGAGAUGUGCUGCUAACGGGAACCCCAGGGUCUGGAAGGGGGUGGUGAAUAGGAAAUAAACUGCCAAGCCUGCUCUGUC